GUCGUGCGAGAAAGUCACUUCGGUGGCGAGUAGAGCGGCGCACGGGCGAGUAACACGUGGGUAACCUGCCCUUGAGUCUGGGAUAACCCGGGGAAACUCGGGCUAAUACCGGAUACGGCCGCGAGGUCUUCGGACCUUGCGGAGAAAGACGGCGCUCCUUCGGGAGCUUUCACUCGAGGAUGGGCCUGCGUCCCAUUAGCUAGUUGGUGGGGUAAGGGCCCACCAAGGCGACGAUGGUUAGCGGGUCUGAGAGGAUGAUCCGCCACACUGGCACUGGAACACGGGCCAGACUCCUACGGGAGGCAGCAGUGAGGAAUAUUGCGCAAUGGGGGCAACCCUGACGCAGCGACGCCGCGUGAGUGAGGAAGGCCUUCGGGUCGUAAAGCUCUGUCAGCAGGGAAGAAGUGCAUUGCAGCUAAUAUCUGUGAUGUUUGACGGUACCUGCAAAGGAAGCACCGGUUAACUCCGUGCCAGCAGCCGCGGUAAUACGGAGGGUGCGAGCGUUGUUCGGAAUCACUGGGCGUAAAGGGCGCGCAGGCGGUUUUAUAAGUCAGAUGUGAAAGCCCACGGCUUAACUGUGGAAGAGCAUUUGAAACUGUAAGACUUGAGUACCAGAGGGGAAGGUGGAAUUCCCGGUGUAGAGGUGAAAUUCGUAGAUAUCGGGAGGAAUACCGGUGGCGAAGGCGACCUUCUGGCUGGAUACUGACGCUGAGGCGCGAAAGCGUGGGGAGCAAACAGGAUUAGAUACCCUGGUAGUCCACGCGGUAAACGAUGUGCACUAGAUGUCGGGGGUAUUGAUCCCUUCGGUGUCGCAGCUAACGCAUUAAGUGCACCGCCUGGGGAGUACGGUCGCAAGAUUAAAACUCAAAUGAAUUGACGG
rnacentral:rRNA from 1 species